GUCCAGAAGGACAACACUCACACCACGAUUUUUAAGUUGUGCCAGUGCAUCGCCGGCAUUGCCGGCUUCAAGGCACG
rnacentral:sRNA from 12 species